rnacentral:ncRNA from 19 species
GACAUCGAUGGGGAUGGAGUUCCCCGAUACCCGCCGCAAGGCUGAUGACUCCUACCGGGCG